CGCUGCGGCGUGCUUACCAUGCAAGUCGAACGGUGAACUCCGCUUGCGGGGGGAUCAGUGGCGAACGGGUGAGUAACACGUGGGCAACCUGCCCUCAGCUCUGGGAUAACUCCAAGAAAUUGGGGCUAAUACUGGAUAUGACCGCUGACCGCAUGGUCUGGUGGUGGAAAGAUUUAUCGGCUGGGGAUGGGCCCGCGGCCUAUCAGCUUGUUGGUGGGGUAGUGGCCUACCAAGGCGACGACGGGUAGCCGGCCUGAGAGGGUGACCGGCCACACCGGGACUGAGACACGGCCCAGACUCCUACGGGAGGCAGCAGUGGGGAAUAUUGCGCAAUGGGCGAAAGCCUGACGCAGCGACGCCGCGUGGGGGAUGACGGCCUUCGGGUUGUAAACCUCUUUCAGCAGGGACGAAGCGAAAGUGACGGUACCUGCAGAAGAAGCACCGGCCAACUACGUGCCAGCAGCCGCGGUAAU
rnacentral:rRNA from 1 species